UCCUAAAAUUCGUAAUAAGGAAAUUUAAUAUUUUGUUAGUGUUCAAAUUAAAAUUGAUUUAUUUAAUUAUUAUUAUUUUUUGUAAAUUUCAAAAAAUUUAACAGAGAAUUGUAAACUUGACUUGACAAUUUUUGCGCCGAACAUCCGGACGUCCGGACGUGUUCGGUGUUCGAUCGCACAUACGAACGAACACAACGAACAUUUCAAUUUUUACGAACGACCGACCGAUCAUUAAUGAUUUCAACGAACGAACGACCGACCACAAACACAUAUUUUUUCAAUGUACGAACGAACGACCGACUGUUCGUGCCCAGCUCUGCCGAUGACAACGUAAAAGAAUACACCAAAAAGUAUUGGUUUGAAUCACUUCCAAUGUGGUUGUAUAUACAUGCAAGAGCAAAUCGACGAUUUCCAUUACUGGGCUCAAGACAAUAACAUUACAAUGCCAAAAAUUGAAAACCUGACAGUGAUUCCACGUUGCUCGUUCGAGCGAAAAGCAGUCAAAAUGGACACCAAAGGUCUCAAAUAUAUGAUGGCUUAAUUGAAUCUUUUGCCUCAAAUCGAUGGCCGGCAAAUCAACGAAACAGAAUUCUACGAGCACAAAGAGUACUUCUGGAAUGAGAUUUUCGAUAUGCCAAAAAUUCAUCGCAUUUUGAAGAACAAACCGUUACAUGAUUACAACCGUUUGGUGUGCAAUGGUGUAUCGACGUCGAUUUUGUAGAAAGUGCCAAAACCGAACUCGAUCAAUUGGUGUCCGAUGAAAUCAUCAAAAAAAAUACUUGGAUGGCGAAUUCGUUCAUGAGCUUGACAUACAUCCAGGCAUGCGCACUUGGAAUGCGACAGUCAGACGAAAUAUUCAGAUGGCAAAGAAAUGAACUUCAAAAUCAGUAGCAAGCAGUAUCAUUACAUGGCCAGGCAACGUGUUCGUGACAGAAAAGUCAAACGAUGGACACGCGAAUUUACCAGUUAUGAACAGAACGACCGAAAUGAUCGAGCAAGAUAUCCACGAAUGCCAUCGCCGAAAGGCUAGCAUACAUUGCACAUCGAUUGACUGUAAUAAAGAGAGGCAUUAAAACGUACACCACAAUGCGAUACGCCCGAUUAAAAUUUGAUAAGUACAUCGAAUCAAAUCAUGUCAGUGAUUGCGUCGCAUUUUUAUUGAAAUUGCGACCAAUUCACCAAUUAAGAUAAAGAAACACGUCCGAUGCCGAGGCACUCGUAAACUGGCGAAAAGUUUCAUAAAAAUGACUGGUAUGGUGAUUCGUCGUGUAUGUGAAAGGAGAACAUCAAUGCUCUGCGGUCGUUGUUUUGCGGCAUUUCCAGAAAGAACACGAAGUCAUCGCUUCAAAGUGUGCGAAUGGUGCGUGUCAAGUCCAGAUGAUUGGCCACCAUUACAACAGCUACCACCGAAAAUCGUGACAACAAAGACCAAGCGAAUGAUGCGAGCAGAACGCGAUGAUUGGGUGGAGGAAGCAAUUUGUGAUGAUCCAGAUCUAGAUCAAGAUGUAGCACGAGCAGUAGCUCUACGAUUUGUGUCUAAGGUGAUUUCGUACCGUAAAAACUGGCAACAAAUCGACGCAGCAUACGAUCAUGAUGAGGAUGAAUGCGAAGAUGUACACCAACGUCGAACCAUUCUGAAGACUGUCUAGCAUUGAGACAUUUCAGCUGCAGAGCUGAUCAUGUACAAAGGACAUUGCCUGAUACACGGAAUAGCAUGACAUGUGGUGUUUACAGUUCAAAAUGUAUACCACGUUUAAUUUAUAAACAUUUUGUAAUUGAAAAAAAAAAUGUAAUUGUUUACUGUAUUACACUGUAAUAGUUGACUUUGCAGCAUUUGGGACCUUUGGCCCACUUUAGUGACAGUACCGAGGUGAUAUUGAUGUUUUAUAAUUAUUGAUUAAUGAGUGACCAUAAGGACCUUUAAUAGUAAUUAUGAUAUUCCAAUAUCAAGUCAAAGGAUUAGAGUUAGCUAUUGAUAAGUUAAAUUUGAUUUUCCACUCGGUAGAGAGUGUUACAUACCAUAUGAGAUGAAUGCAUCAACUAUGUGACAUCUACAGUAGAAACUUAUUUUAUAUCUACUUCAUAUUAGAAAAAAUACACACGGAAUGUUAUAUGAUCCAAUACAUUUUUAAUGUUAUAAAAAAGAAUCUAU